UACGGGGGGGGCAAGCGUUGUUCGGAAUUACUGGGCGUAAAGGGUUCGUAGGUGGCUCGCUAAGUCAGACGUGAAAUCCCUCAGCUUAACUGGGGAACUGCGUCUGAGACUGGCAAGCUUGAGUGCAGGAGAGGAACGCGGAAUUCCAGGUGUAGCGGUGAAAUGCGCAGAUAUCAGGAGGAACACCAAUGGCGAAGGCAGCUCGCUGGGACGGUACUGACGCUGAGACGCGAAAGCGUGGGGAGCAAACAGG
rnacentral:rRNA from 1 species